rnacentral:rRNA from 1 species
CGUCAAGAUGUUAAGGGCUUACGGUGGAUGCCUUGGCACCAGGAGUCGAUGAAGGACGUGGACGGCUGCGAUAAGCCGCGGUGAGGCGCUGAACAGCCUUUGACCCGCGGAUCUCCGAAUGGGAAAACCCGGCGCCGGUAAUGCGGCGUCAUCCAGCGGUGAAUACAUAGCCGUUGGAAGGGAACCGGGCGAACUGAAACAUCUAAGUAGCCCGAGGAAAGGAGAUCAUUCCCUUAGUAGCGGCCAGCGAACGGGGAAUAGCCUAAACCGGCAGGGAAGGUAACGGCUCACGGGCCAAUGCCCUGCGGGGGUUGUAAGACACAGAUAGGCCGGGCCGUGUCACCGGCCGGGAAGUUACCAAGCUCUACUCUAGCAGAAGGACCCUGGAAAGGGCCGCCAAAGAGAGUGAAAGCCUUGUAUGCGAAAGAGUGAGAGCCUUCCUGGUCUGUGUUCUUGAGUACCACGGGACACGAGGAAUCCCGUGGGAAGCUGGGGGGACCACCCUCUAAGGCUAAACACCUCCAGUGACCGAUAGUGCAGUAGUACCGUGAGGGAAAGGUGAAAAAGCACCCCG